rnacentral:rRNA from 1 species
GAUGAACGCUAGCGGGAGGCCUAACACAUGCAAGCCGAGCGGUAUUGUUUCUUCGGAAAUGAGAGAGCGGCGUACGGGUGCGUAACACGUGUGCAACCUGCCUUUAUCUGGGGGAUAGCCUUUCGAAAGGAAGAUUAAUACUCCAUAAUAUAUUGAACGGCAUCGUUUAAUAUUGAAAGCUCCUGCGGAUAGAGAUGGUCACGCGCAAGAUUAGCUAGUUGGUGAGGUAACGGCUCACCAAGGCGAUGAUCUUUAGGGGGCCUGAGAGGGUGAUCCCCCACACUGGUACUGAGACACGGACCAGACUCCUACGGGAGGCAGCAGUGAGGAAUAUUGGUCAAGGGGUGCAAGCCUGAACCAGCCAUCCCGCGUGAAGGACGACUGCCCUAGGGGUUGUAAACUUCUUUUGUAUAGGGAUAAACCUACCCUCGAGAGGGUAGCUGAAGGUACUAUACGAAUAAGCACCGGCUAACUCCGUG